GAUGAACGCUGGCGGCGUGCCUAAUACAUGCAAGUCGAGCGAAUGGAUUAAGAGCUUGCUCCUAUGAAGUUAGCGGCGGACGGGUGAGUAACACGUGGGUAACCUGCCCAUAAGACUGGGAUAACUCCGGGAAACCGGGGCUAAUACCGGAUAACAUUUUGAACCGCAUGGUUCGAAAUUGAAAGGCGGCUUCGGCUGUAACUUAUGGAGGAACGCGCGUCGCAUUAGGUAGGUGGUGAGGUAACGGCUAACCAAGGCAACGAUGCGUAGCCGACCUGAGAGGGUGAUCGGCCACACUGGGACUGAGACACGGCCCAGACUCCUACGGGAGGCAGCAGUAGGGAAUCUUCCGCAAUGGACGAAAGUCUGACGGAGCAACGCCGCGUGAGUGAUGAAGGCUUUCGGGUCGUAAAACUCUGUUGUUAGGGAAGAACAAGUGCUAGUUGAAUAAGCUGGCACCUUGACGGUACCUAACCAGAGAGCCACGGCUAACUACGUGCCAGCCGCCGCUGUAA
rnacentral:rRNA from 1 species